UCCCCAAUAAUGGGAAAAGCGAUACCUUGCAGGUAGUAUUCUUAUAUCAGUCAUGAGCAGAGCAAAUGGUAGUCCUUGUUCAUCCUAGGUUGAUGCCUAGCUUUGUGGCCAAAGCUGUCUUAUGCCUAGGACUUAGAA